AACGAACGCUGGCGGCAUGCCUAACACAUGCAAGUCGAACGAGACCGUCGGGUCUAGUGGCGCUGGGGGGCGUAACGCGGGGGAACCUGCCCUUAGGUUCGGUAUAACUCCCCGUAAGGGGUGCUAAUGACGGUUAAUGUCUUCGGACCAAAGAUUUAUCGCCAUUGGAUGGGCGCGCGUUGGCUUAGCUAGUUGGUAGGGUAAAAGCCUACCAAGGCGACGAUCCAUAGCUGGUCUGUGAGCAUGAUCAGGCACGAUGGGACUGCGGCACGGACCAGACUGCUACGGGAGGGAGGGGUAGGGAAUAUUAGGCGAUGGGCCAAAGUCUGAUAAAGCAAUGCCGCGGAAGUGAUCCAGCCGUUAGGAUUGUGCAGCUCUUUUACCCGAAGUGAUAAUGACAGUACCGGGAGAAUAAGCUCCGGCUAACUACGUG
rnacentral:rRNA from 1 species